CCUACGGGGGGCAGCAGUGAGGAAUAUUGGUCAAUGGGCGCGAGCCUGAACCAGCCAAGUCGCGUGAGGGAAGACGGCCCUAUGGAUUGUAAACCUCUUUUGUCGGGGAGCAAAAGACGCCACGCGUGGCGUUCUGAGAGUACCCGAAGAAAAAGCAUCGGCUAACUCCGUGCCAGCAGCCGCGGUAAUACGGAGGAUCCGAGCGUUAUCCGGAUUUAUUGGGUUUAAAGGGUGCGUAGGCGGCCUUUUAAGUCAGCGGUGAAAGUCUGUGGCUCAACCAUAGAAUUGCCGUUGAAACUGGGAGGCUUGAGUAUGUUUGAGGCAGGCGGAAUGCGUGGUGUAGCGGUGAAAUGCUUAGAUAUCACGCAGAACCCCGAGUGCGAAGGCAGCCUGCCAAGCCAUGACUGACGCUGAUGCACGAAAGCGUGGGGAUCAAACAGGAUUAGAUACCCGAGUAGUC
rnacentral:rRNA from 1 species